GUUAGGAAUAUUGGGCAAUGGAGGAAACUCUGACCCAGCAACGCCGCGUGAAGGAUGAAGGUUUUCGGAUUGUAAACUUCUGUUCUAUGGGAAAAAACAAAUGAUGGUACCAUAGGAGAAAGCCACGGCUAACUACGUGCCAGCAGCCGCGGUAAUACGUAGGUGGCAAGCGUUGUUCGGAAUGACUGGGCGUAAAGGGAGCGUAGGUUGUUUUUUAAGUUAAAUGUGAAAGCCCGGGGCUUAACUCCGGAAUGCCAUUUAAUACUGGAAGACUAGAGUGCAGGAGGGGUGAGCGGAAUUCCUAGUGUAGCGGUGGAAUGCGUAGAUAUUAGGAAGAACACCAGAGGCGAAGGCGGCUCACUGGACUGUUACUGACACUGAGGCUCGAAAGCGUGGGGAGCAAACAGGAUUAGAAACCCCAGUAGUCC
rnacentral:rRNA from 1 species